CGCUGGCGGCGUGCCUAACACAUGCAAGUCGAACGGUUUGGUGUUCAACACCAAGAACUUUUGAGAAAAAGCGCGACAGCGCAUAUGGAUUUGCGGAGCAAACCCAUUACGCAAAAAAACGUGCCUAAAAGCAAGAGUCAUUGGUGUUGAACAUCAGAUAGUGGCGAACGGGUGAGUAACGCGUAGACAACCUACCUUCCAGAUGGGGACAACACUGCGAAAGUGGUGCUAAUACCGAAUGCGUAACUUUGAUUGCAUAAUUAAAGUUAGAAAGGCGGCCUCUAUAUAUAAGCUGCCGCUGGAAGAUGGGUCUGCGUCUGAUUAGCUAGUUGGUGAGGUAACGGCUCACCAAGGCGACGAUCAGUAGCCGGUCUGAGAGGAUGAACGGCCACACGGGGACUGAGACACGGCCCAGACUCCUACGGGAGGCAGCAGUGGGGAAUCUUCCGCAAUGGACGAAAGUCUGACGGAGCAACGCCGCGUGAGUGAAGAAAGUUUUCGGAUCGUAAGGCUCUGUCUUUUGGGACGAAUGUGCUCUUUGUAAAUAAUGAAGAGUUAUGACAGUACCCGAAAAGGGAGCCACGGGUAACUACGUGCCAGCAGCCGCGGUAAUACCUUUGUGGCAAGCGUUGUCCGGAAUUAUUGGGCGUAAAGCGCGCGCAGGCGGAAUAAUAAGUCUGUCGUGAAAGUGCGGGGCUCAACCCCGUGAUUGCAAUGGAAACUGUUAUUCUUGAGUGCAGGAGAGGAAAGUGGAAUUCCUAGUGUAGCGGUGAAAUGCGUAGAUAUUAGGAGGAACACCAGUGGCGAAGGCGACUUUUUGGACUGUGUCUGACGCUGAGGCGCGAAAGCCAGGGUAGUGAACGGGAUUAGAUACCCCGGUAAUCCUGGCCGGAAACGAUGGGUACUAGGUGUAGGGGGGUAUUCGACCCCCCCUGUGCCGGAGUUAACGCAAUAAGUACCCCGCCUGGGGAAGUACGGCCGCAAGGUUGAAACUCAAAGGAAUUGACGGGGGCCCGCACAAGCGGUGGAGUAUGUGGGUUAAAUUCGACGCAUCGCGAAGAACCUUACCAGGACUUGGCAUUGAGUGAAAAGGCUAAGAGAUGUGUUCCUCCCUUGGGGACCACAAACGAGGGGGUGCUAGGGUGUUGUCAGCUCGGUGUGUGAGAUAUUGGGUUAAAUUCCGCAUCGAGCGGAUCCCUUUAUGCUAUGGUGGCAACGAGUAAGGUCGGGAACUCAUGGGAGACUGCCGUCGACAAGACGGAGGAAGGCGGGGAUGACGUCAAGUCAUCAUGCCCCUUAUGUCCUGGGCUACACACGUACUACAAUGGGCUUUAACAAAGGGAUGCAAGACCGCGAGGUGGAGCAAACCCCAGAAACAAGCUCUCAGUUCGGAUCGGAGGCUGGAACUCGCCUCCGUGAAGUCGGAAUUCCUAGUAAUCGCAGAUCAGCAUGGUGCGGUGAAUACGUUCCCGGGCCUUGUACACACCG
rnacentral:rRNA from 1 species